CUAUGGCACAAACAGGUCUAGGAGUAACAGGUCUAUGGGACAAAUGGAUCUAUGGAAUCAACAGGUCUAUGAUGAACAGGUCUAUGGAUCUAACAGAUCUAUGGAACUAACAGAUCUAUGGAACUAACAGGUCUAUGGAACUAACAGGUCUAGUAUUAACAGGUCUUUGGAACUAACAGGUCUAUGGAUCUAAUAGA